rnacentral:rRNA from 1 species
ACUGCUCAGUAACACGUGGAUAACCUGCCCAAGGGUCCGGGAUAACCCCGGGAAACUGGGGAUAAUACCGGAUGGAUCACUAGUGCUGGAAUGCUUGGUGGUUUAAAGGUAACGCCUUUGGAUGGGUCUGCGGCGGAUUAGGUUGACGCCGGUGUAACGUACCGGCGUGCCUGUAAUCCGUACGGGUUGUGGGAGCAAGAGCCCGGAGAUGGAUUCUGAGACACGAAUCCAGGCCCUACGGGGCGCAGCAGGCGCGAAAACUCUACAAUGCAGGCAACUGCGAUAGGGGGACAUCGAGUGGCAUCCACCUUGGGUGCCUGUCCAACCGUCUAAAAAACGGUUGUUAGCAAGGGCCGGGUAAGACCGGUGCCAGCCGCCGCGGUAAUACCGGCGGCUCGAGUGGUGGCCGAUAUUAUUGAGUCUAAAGGGUCCGUAGCCGGCUUUGCAAGUCCCCUGGGAAAUCCAGCGGCUUAACCGUUGGGCUUUCAUGGGAUACUACAUUGCUUGGGACUGGGAGAGGUAGGAGGUACUCGGGGGGUAGGGGUGAAAUCCUGUAAUCCUCCGGGGACCACCGGUGGCGAAGGCGUCCUACCAGAACAGGUCCGACGGUGAGGGACGAAAGCUAGGGGCACGAACCGGAUUAGAUACCCGGGUAGUCCUAGCCGUAAACGAUGCCCGCUAGGUGUCACGACGGUCGUGAAUCGUCGUGGUGCCGUAGGGAAGCCGCGAAGCGGGCCACUUGGGAAGUACGGCCGCAAGGCUGAAACUUAAAGGAAUUGGCGGGGGAGCAC